GACCCGUUCGGCCCCUUACGAGAAAUCANNNNNNNNNNNNNNNNNNNNGAANUUAAGCAUAUCAAUAAGCGGAGGNAAAGAAACCNACAGGGAUUGCCUCAGUAACGGCGAGUGAAGCGGCAACAGCUCAAAUUUGAAAUUUGGCCUCGGUCNGAGUUGUAAUUUGCAGAGGAAGUUUCGGGUGCGAUACCGGUNUAAGUUCNUUGGAACAGGACGUCAUAGAGGGUGAGAAUCCCGUAUGCGACUGGUGGUCAACCCCAUGUGAGGCCCCUUCGACGAGUUGAGUUGUUUGGGAAUGCAGCUCAAAAUGGGUGGUAAAUUUUAUUUAAAGGUAAAUACCGGCCAGAGACCGAUAGCGCACAAGUAGAGUGAUCGAAAGAUGAAAAGCACUUUGGAAAGAGAGUUAAACAGUACGUGAAAUUGUUGAAAGGGAAGCGCUUGCAACCAGAAUUGCUCGCGGGUGAUCCACCGCCAUUCGUGGUGGUUUAAUUGCCCGCGAUCAGGCCAACAUUGGUUUCUGGUGGGUGGAUACAGACCCCGGGAAUGUGGCUCCUUUCGGGGUGUGUUAUAGCCCGGGGUGCAAUGCAGCCGACCGGGACCGAGGACCGCGCUUCGGCUAGGAUGUUGGCGUAAU
rnacentral:rRNA from 1 species